GAGAAUAUAAUUGAAAAGGAAAGCGCUAUGAAAAAAGUGACUGAUCAGUCUAAAGAUGAUGAAAUCAUCAUGCAAGAGGCUAACGAAAAAGACCUCAUCUGUGAAGAGAUCUUGUAGCAACCCUUAAUUUUUAUAAUGUGGUAUAAUAAUAGUUUAUACAUGUAUAUUAUUGAAGUUUAUUCAUUAAUAAGAGUAAUAUAGUAAUAUAGUGAGAUUUAGGUGGCUGAAGUGUUAUUAAUAGAUAAAUUUGGGGUACAAGUACAAAUAUAAAUAAUAAAAUUAGAAACUUACCAACCAAGAAAAUGACGUGGGUUCAUUUAUCAGAUAAUUGAGAAGGGAGAUUUUGUUUAUUUCGAAAAUUGAGAGAGAGUCGCGUGUCUCGAGGUGUAGAGUCAUCAGCGUCUUCUUUCUCCGAUAAAUACCUCGUCAUCUCGUCUCAAAUUCAUUCAUCACUCCCAUUCUUACUCAGCAUAUAAACGACACACCACCCAGAAAUUCAAGAGAUUGAAUAUCAAAAACCAUAGAAAGAUAUCAAGAAGUAAGAAGAAGCUAAGGUUCAAUCAACGGAGAUAAGAUGGUGACUUGACGAUCCUUUCGGUGGAGUUCAAGCGAGCGGGGUAUAGCGUUAGAAAGCCCGCUGUAGAAGCUAUAAUUCGGUGGAAAUUUCUACCCAUUUGAUUUGGUGACGAUUGCUCGAUUUUGUCAAAGAUAUUCAGCCUACUGUUAAUCUCAUAAUCCGAUUUGAGGUGUUGAGAUUGAGGAACCGUAACAGACGAGUGAUAUUGAUUGGACGAAGGUGAGGGUUCACUUGCUUGACCUUUUUCUGGGAAUAUGGUAGGCUCGGGUAAUUCUAUCACUCGAGUGCCUGACUUUUGCUCUUCUUUGUAAUAUUGAUUUAUUCGUCAUUGUUGUUUGAAUAUCGUUAUUUAAAAUUAAUUCGAUUAUGCCGAGCUUCAGAUUAUUUGAGAAAUGCUAUCUUAUCGAGAGUUCAACUCUUCGAUUUCCAUUUUUCUUUCGAAUAAGAAUUAUUGAAUGAUCGGUAUGAAAUCUUUGAAGCCGAUCGUCUUCCUUCAAUUUCUAUUCAUGAUCUAAAGCUGAGAUCUUGAAAGAUCAAGUCGUUCUUUGAACCUUUCACUUGAUCCCAUUUCUUUGGAAUUCUAUUGUCUUUGAAAUUCUGAAAUAAUCAGAAUAAUAUGGUCUUCUUAUAUGAUCGAUAAAGUCAUUUUGGGACGCCUAAGGACAAUGGAUAUUGAUGGGCGACCCGAGGCUGUUUGGAGGUGACCGUUGGGCGGUAUCGGGCCGGCGAUGGGUAGUCUCUCCAACAGUACCCACAUAGGUUUAGACCCGUACACAACUGAAGGUUAGUUGGGUUUCGGGCUAAACCGGCAUGCGCCUGGGCAUGCCACGUUGCAUUACAUGGUCAUUCCCUGCUCGGUGAAUAAGGUAGUAAACGGCUACGGGAGUCACAAGGUAGGUGUAUUCUUAUUUCUAUUGAUUGGAAAAUCGAUUAAUCAUUCUUAUUGUUAUUCUUGAAUUUCCAAUUGAAAUAUAAUCUUUAAAAACGCUUCUAUUUUCCUAUAUCACCUAAUGGUCUGAUCAUCGAACUUUCUCUCAGAUAAUGUUAUAACUCAUCAUUCUUAUAUUUCACCUCACUAAGUCUUCUAUGAAUUAUGCUCUACUUUAUUCUGUCAUAUUCUCAUACACAUGUGCAAGCUUGAAUGAAUCAGAGGAUUUUCCGUCCGAGUAGCUACCUUUUUUUAUAUUUGUAAAAUAGUGGUUCGAUUAAGUUAAGAAUAAUCGCUGUCUUGUAUUAUAAAUAUCAGUGUUUGAACUUACUUAUGUUAUAGUAUUGUAAUCAAAUAAGUUAGAAGUUGUUAUAACAGUUCGGAACCCUUGUACUUUACCUUGCUAGACGUAAGGUUUUUAAUAAAUAAAUCGUACGUAAUUUUGUGAGCUAUAGAUUGAAUUAGUAUUAU